rnacentral:rRNA from 1 species
AACGAACGCUGGCGGCAUGCCUAACACAUGCAAGUCGAACGAGACCUUCGUGUCUAGUGGCGCACGGGUGCGUAACGCGUGGGAACCUGCCCUUAGGUUCGGAAUAACUCCCCGAAAGGGGUGCUAAUACCGGAUAAUUUCUUCGGACCAAAGAUUUAUCGCCUUUGGAUGGGCCCGCGUUGGAUUAGCUAGUUGGUAGGGUAAAAGCCUACCAAGGCGACGAUCCAUAGCUGGUCUGAGAGGAUGAUCAGCCACACUGGGACUGAGACACGGCCCAGACUCCUACGGGAGGCAGCAGUGGGGAAUAUUGGACAAUGGGCGAAAGCCUGAUCCAGCAAUGCCGCGUGAGUGAUGAAGGCCUUAGGGUUGUAAAGCUCUUUUACCCGGGAUGAUAAUGACAGUACCGGGAGAAUAAGCUCCGGCUAACUCCGUG